rnacentral:rRNA from 1 species
UGAUGCAGCAACGCCGUGUGAGUGAUGAAGGCCUUCGGGUCGUAAAACUCUGUCCUAUGGGAAGAAAACAAUGAAGGUACCAUAAUGAGGAACCCCCGGCUAACUACGUGCCAGCAGCCGCGGUAAUACGUAGGGGGCAAGCGUUAUCCGGAAUCACUGGGCGUAAAGGGUGCGUAGGUGGCUGAUCAAGCCAGGGGUGAAAGGCAUUGGCUCAACCAAUGUAAGCCUUUGGAACUGAUCGGCUUGAGUGCAGGAGAGGUAAGUGGAAUUCCUAGUGUAGAGGUGAAAUUCGUAGAUAUUAGGAGGAACACCAGUGGCGAAGGCGACUUACUGGACUGUAACUGACACUGAGGCACGAAAGCGUGGGGAGCGAACAGGAUUAGAUACCCUGGUAG